rnacentral:rRNA from 1 species
CCUACGGGUGGCUGCAGUGGGGAAUAUUGGACAAUGGGAGCAACCCUGAUCCAGCCAUGCCGCGUGUGUGAAGAAGGCCCUCGGGUUGUAAAGCACUUUCAGUGAGGAAGAACGCCUGGUGGUUAAUACCCAUCAGGAAAGACAUCACUCACAGAAGAAGCACCGGCUAACUCCGUGCCAGCAGCCGCGGUAAUACGGAGGGUGCGAGCGUUAAUCGGAAUUACUGGGCGUAAAGCGCGCGUAGGUGGCUUGAUAAGCCGGUUGUGAAAGCCCCGGGCUCAACCUGGGAACGGCAUCCGGAACUGUCAAGCUAGAGUGCAGGAGAGGAAGGUAGAAUUCCCGGUGUAGCGGUGAAAUGCGUAGAGAUCGGGAGGAAUACCAGUGGCGAAGGCGGCCUUCUGGACUGACACUGACACUGAGGUGCGAAAGCGUGGGUAGCAAACAGGAUUAGAUACCCUUGUAGUC